rnacentral:rRNA from 1 species
GAGUUUGAUCCUGGCUCAGAACGAACGCUGGCGGCAGGCUUAACACAUGCAAGUCGAACGCCCCGCAAGGGGAGUGGCAGACGGGUGAGUAACGCGUGGGAACGUACCCUUUACUACGGAAUAACUCAGGGAAACUUGUGCUAAUACCGUAUGUGCCCUUCGGGGGAAAGAUUUAUCGGUAAAGGAUCGGCCCGCGUUGGAUUAGCUAGUUGGUGGGGUAAAGGCCUACCAAGGCGACGAUCCAUAGCUGGUCUGAGAGGAUGAUCAGCCACAUUGGGACUGAGACACGGCCCAAACUCCUACGGGAGGCAGCAGUGGGGAAUAUUGGACAAUGGGCGCAAGCCUGAUCCAGCCAUGCCGCGUGAGUGAUGAAGGCCCUAGGGUUGUAAAGCUCUUUCACCGGUGAAGAUAAUGACGGUAACCGGAGAAGAAGCCCCGGCUAACUUCGUGCCAGCAGCCGCGGUAAUACGAAGGGGGCUAGCGUUGUUCGGAAUUACUGGGCGUAAAGCGCACGUAGGCGGGUAUUUAAGUCAGGGGUGAAAUCCCGGAGCUCAACUCCGGAACUGCCUUUGAUACUGGGUACCUAGAGUAUGGAAGAGGUAAGUGGAAUUCCGAGUGUAGAGGUGAAAUUCGUAGAUAUUCGGAGGANCACCAGUGGCGAAGGCGGCUUACUGGUCCAUUACUGACGCUGAGGUGCGAAAGCGUGGGGAGCAAACAGGAUUAGAUCCCUGGUAGU